CGGAGGAAGGUGAGGAUGACGUCAAAUCAUCAUGCCCCUUAUGAUUUGGGCUACACACGUGCUACAAUGGACAAUACAAAGGGCAGCGAAACCGCGAGGUCAAGCAAAUCCCAUAAAGUUGUUCUCAGUUCGGAUUGUAGUCUGCAACUCGACUACAUGAAGCUGGAAUCGCUAGUAAUCGUAGAUCAGCAUGCUACGGUGAAUACGUUCCCGGGUCUUGUACACACCGCCCGUCACACCACGAGAGUUUGUAACACCCGAAGCCGGUGGAGUAACCUUUUAGGAGCUAGCCGUCGAAGGUGGGACAAAUGAUUGGGGUGAAGUCGUAACAAGGUAGCCGUAUCGGAAGGUGCGGCUGGAUCACCUCCUUU
rnacentral:rRNA from 1 species